CUGAAGAUGGGAAACGCAUGAACUGAAGAGACGGUUCCUCGAAUGGGGGAACCUACAAUGUCAUGGCAAAUAUGCAUUGUAAUGAUUCCCCAAGUCCUUUCUCAAGAGACCCAAUUUAUUUGGGUAAUUGUACUUUGAAGAAAGGAGAAUAACCAGACACUUUGAAGAGCAUUAGAGUCAGAAUCUGAGGUGACAUUGAUACCUGGAGAUCCAAGAUGUCCUUACAUUCCCUGGGUUGGAGGUCUUGGUCCCAAAAGAGAAAAUAUCCUUGCCAGGACACUCAGCAAGGGUCCCAUUGAACUAUAAGUUAAGGUGAGCACCAGCAUACUUUGGAGUCCUUGUGUACAGGGAUCAGCAGAUGAAAAGAGGAGUCACCAUAUGGACAAGAGUCAUUGACCUUCGUCAGCAGGAGGAGAUGUCUGGACUAGAGCCUUACUGUAGUGCUCACUGCUGUACUGCCCAUUACUCAUGUGCCUCCCUGCUUGCUGGACUGAGUUUCUAUCUACACUGAUAUCCUACUCAUGGUAUUCACAAAGAGUCACACAUACACACUACUCUUCAUCAUGGUAAAUGAAGCCUCUACCAAAGGAUAUCAAGGAAAAUCAAGAUAUUUCUUAGCACCAAGAAUAUUGCCCUGAUGCACCAAAGUGCCCCAAAACAUUGAGUGGAGAUGGCGCUUUUCCAGUGUUAGUUGCUUGUUGUAUCAGAACAAACCCACCUCACAGAUUCAGAAAUAU